rnacentral:tRNA from 1 species
GGAUCUGUUCGCCUGUAGCAUGGCUGACUCCUAAUCAGCGGGUCCCAAGGUUCGAAUCCUCACACAUCCACCA